rnacentral:sRNA from 1 species
UUUCGUCUUCACAUUGAGAGGAUGAGAAUCUCCGAAGGAGGUUCGAGCCGAACGUAGUGAGACCACGUUGCUUUAGCAACGGCCCGCAGGGCAAGCAUCGAAGAUGCGCAUAAUCCUCUCAUGCCGACCA